rnacentral:rRNA from 1 species
GACGAACGCUGGCGGCGUGCUUAACACAUGCAAGUCGAACGGAAAGGCCCUGCUUUUGUGGGGUGCUCGAGUGGCGAACGGGUGAGUAACACGUGAGUAACCUGCCCUUGACUUUGGGAUAACUUCAGGAAACUGGGGCUAAUACCGGAUAGGAGCUCCUGCUGCAUGGUGGGGGUUGGAAAGUUUCGGCGGUUGGGGAUGGACUCGCGGCUUAUCAGCUUGUUGGUGGGGUAGUGGCUUACCAAGGCUUUGACGGGUAGCCGGCCUGAGAGGGUGACCGGCCACAUUGGGACUGAGAUACGGCCUAGACUCCUACGGGAGGCAGCAGUGGGGAAUAUUGCACAAUGGGCGGAAGCCUGAUGCAGCAACGCCGCGUGCGGGAUGACGGCCUUCGGGUUGUAAACCGCUUUCGCCUGUGACGAAGCGUGAGUGACGGUAUGGGUAAAGAAGCACCGGCUAACUACGUG